CCAAAACAUCAUCAAACAUGAUAAAAUGUAUUCAACACACACAAAAAAAACGUAGUCAGAAUCUCACUUCAUUUUGAAACAAGUCAAUGAAACAAAGUUAUAGCAAUACACUAACCAAAACAUGAUUAGGAGUUAUUCAACACAAAAUAAAACGUUGACAGAAUCCCACUUUAUUUAGAAAGGAAUAUUAUUUUUUUAACAAUACACUAUCCAAAACAUGAUUAAGAUUGAACCACAUAAAAAAAUGCUGCAUCACUUUAUUUUGAGACAAUGAAAACAAUUAUACUUAUAAGAAUACUACUUGCCAAAACUUCAUUACAAAGUUAUUAAACACAAAACCAAUUAAAAUUGGGCGCGAACAUGUAGGGUGCGAAAGUGAAAGGGGGCGAACAUGAGUGGGUGCGAACGUGAAUGGGCGCGAACGGACCCGGAUUCCUGCCUUGACAGUAACAAAAUAAAAAGGGGUGGGCGAUGUGGGUACACUGGCACUGCUAGGGUGGGCGAUGUGGUUACACUGCCACUGGGCGUUGAGGGUAUACAGUAACA
rnacentral:lncRNA from 1 species